AGGAACUCUUGUAUGUCUUGUAGGAACUCUUGUAUGUCUUGUAGGAACUCUUGUAGGAACUCUUGUAUGUCUUGUAGGAACUCUUGUAUGUCUUGUAGGAACUCUUGUAGGAACUCUUGUAUGUCUUGUAGGAACUCUUGUAUGAACUCUUUUAGGAACUCUUGUAUGUCUUGUGUGAACUCUUGUAGGAACUCUUGUAUGUCUUGUAGGAACUCUUUUAGGAACUCUUGUAUGUCUUGUAUGAACUCUUAUAGAACUCUUGUAUGUCUUGUAGGAACUCUUUUAGGAACUCUUGUAUGUCUUGUGUGAACUCUUGUAGGAACUCUUGUAUGAACUCUUUUAGGAACUCUUGUAUGUCUUGUAUGAACUCUUGUAUGUCUUGUGUGAACUCUUGUAGGAACUCUUGUACGUCUUGUGUGAACUCUUUUAGGAACUCUUGUAUGUCUUGUAUGAACUCUUGUAUGUCUUGUGUGAACUCUUGUAGGAACUCUUGUAUGAACUCUUGUAUUCUUGUGUCUUGUAUGAUGAGUAGGGAAAGACUGUUCUAUCAGAAUUCUGGGCAAUUCACCUUCUAGCCUAUUUAAUAAGCGAUUUAUAAUUGUUGCCUGUAUUCAUUUUGAUCGUUGCCUUUUAAAUCAAUCGGGAUCU
ensembl:lncRNA